UACAGGGGGUGCGAGCGUUGUCCGGAAUCACUGGGCGUAAAGGGCGCGUAGGUGGCGACCCAAGUCGAUGGUGAAAGCUCGCCGCUCAACGGCGAGUCGGCCACCGAUACUGGGUUGCUGGAGCACUGUAGAGGCAGAUGGAAUUCCGGGUGUAGCGGUGGAAUGCGUAGAGAUCCGGAAGAACACCGGUGGCGAAGGCGGUCUGCUGGGCAGUUGCUGACACUGAGGCGCGACAGCGUGGGGAGCAAACAGG
rnacentral:rRNA from 1 species